rnacentral:rRNA from 1 species
GACGGAGGAUGCAAGUGUUAUCCGGAAUCACUGGGCGUAAAGCGUCUGUAGGUGGUUUAAUAAGUCAACUGUUAAAUCUUGAGGCUCAACUUCAAAAUCGCAGUCGAAACUAUUAGACUAGAGUAUAGUAGGGGUAAAGGGAAUUUCCAGUGGAGCGGUGAAAUGCGUAGAGAUUGGAAAGAACACCAAUGGCGAAAGCACUUUACUGGGCUAUUACUGACACUGAGAGACGAAAGCUAGGGUAGCAAAUGGG